UGGCAUUUAGCUACAGUCUUGUGCUGUUUUCCUCAGGCAAGAGGUCUCUCAGCUCUCUAGUAAACACUGGUCCUUGUCUCUUGAGCUCUCCCGCUCUUGCCUACCUGCCCUGGAGCUAUCAGCGUGAUCACAGGCUUCAUCCUCCAGCAUCUGAUGUUGGCUCACCCCAGGCGAGGGCAGUGACAUGGAUGCGGGUGCAUCAGCAUGCUUGCAGAGUACAAGGCCGGGUCUUGCCUUUCAAAUAUUGGGGGCCAGCCACCCACCGAGAGCUGAGCUGUAGGAGCACAGCGUGAGAAAGCACGGCAUCAUGUGAAUCAUCACAGCUCUGUGAAUUCCAGCGUCUGAGCAAGGGAUCGAUGCAAGAUCAAAAAAUGUAUUUGCUGAAAAGCAGAGCAAACUCAGAAUGACUGAAAGAACAUGGCAAGCUGUGUAACAACGGCGUGUCCUGUGACAGCAACCUCUGUUCUUCAUCGAACCUGCCUCUUCUGCAUCACAGGCCAGCCAGCUCUGCUUUAAAGACUCUGUUGAACUGCAAAAUGAUAAACGCCUGCACUUACUUGCUUUUCAUCUGCUAAUAUCCUUUCAUUUUCAGGGAGAAUAAAUUUCUUCUUAUAUUGUCAUCUCAUAAUUCAGUAACUGUCUUCUUUUGGCCAGUCACAUGAGCAUUCUGCUGGGUACUUUAUUCUGGCAAGGUUUAGAGAGAGAUGUGAGUAAGAAAGGACUUCUGUCUCUUCGUCUGUUUGCCCCACAUUUUUGUAAAAUAAAGGCCAUCUGGAUUUUA